AUUGGACGCUGGCGGCAUGCUUUACACAUGCAAGUCGAACGGCAGCGGGGAGGAGCUUGCUUCUCUGCCGGCGAGUGGCGAACGGGUGAGUAAUACAUCGGAACGUGUCGAGAAGAGGGGGAUAACCACCCGAAAGGGUGGCUAAUACCGCAUAAAUUCUGAGGAAGAAAGCUGGGGACCUAGGAAUAGGCCUAGCGCUUUUUGAGCGGCCGAUGUCGGAUUAGCUAGUUGGUGAGGUAAAGGCUCACCAAGGCGAAGAUCUGUAGCGGGUCUGAGAGGAUGAUCCGCCACACUGGGACUGAGACACGGCCCAGACUCCUACGGGAGGCAGCAGUGGGGAAUUUUGGACAAUGGGGGCAACCCUGAUCCAGCCAUGCCGCGUGUAUGAAGAAGGCCUUAGGGUUGUAAAGUACUUUUGUUAGGGAAGAAAAGUCAGCUGUGAAUAAUGGCUGAUACUGACGGUACCUAAAGAAUAAGCACCGGCUAACUACGUG
rnacentral:rRNA from 1 species